ACUCAUCAAGCAGCAAAAACAUAUUAUCUUUCUUUCCAUCGAAGAGGCGCUCCUUCAACAACAUCCUCUAUGUGCGUUGAUGCAGUCACAUUUAUGAAUUGUGCACCACUUGCCUGCACAAUUUACAUGAAUAAAGAAAUCUAUUGUAUCAAAAACGAUUAAUGUAUUACUGCUAGUAUGAUUAGUAUAUAGCUCAUGCUAACGCUAUGAUCCUAAGAAGGGGGUCGACAGUGGUGGUGGCGGGGCGAGGGGCGACAACGACACGACUGAGGGGAGGGGCAACGAGAACACAGGGGGAGGGGGAGAGGGGUGCGGGGAGGGGAGGGGAGGAUGAAGACAAAGAAUAUUGUCGAUCAGAUUUUAGUAAGUGAGAGGGUUAUUCAGUGAUAUGAAUUAAUGUUGUGUUAAGUUUAGUGUAAUUUAUUUGUUGGAUUUAAUGAAGGUUUUGAGUGUAUGGGUGAUUUGUUUGUGUGGGUUUUGCAAAAGUUUAAACUAAUGAAUUAUAUAGUGAUAUAGAUAUAGAUGAAUGGUGCACCUUGUAAAUAGAUCAGAUCAUGAAUAAAACUAUCAUACAUCUGUGUGUUGUUUUUUUGGUUGAAUAAAUGGCACACCAUGAAAAUGGAUCGUAU
rnacentral:lncRNA from 7 species